rnacentral:rRNA from 1 species
GACGAACGCUGGCGGCGUGCUUAACACAUGCAAGUCGAACGGUGAAGCGCCUUCCUUUUUGGUGGGUGUGGAUGAGUGGCGAACGGGUGAGUAACACGUGAGUAACCUGCCCCCUUCUUCUGGAUAACCGCAUGAAAGUGUGGCUAAUACGGGAUAUUCUGGGUCUGUCGCAUGAUGGGUCUGGGAAAGAUAUUGUUUCGGUGGGGGAUGGGCUCGCGGCCUAUCAGCUUGUUGGUGGGGUGAUGGCCUACCAAGGCGGUGACGGGUAGCCGGCCUGGGAGGGUGGACGGUCACACUGGGACUGAGACACGGCCCAGACUCCUACGGGAGGCAGCAGUGGGGAAUAUUGCACAAUGGGCGCAAGCCUGAUGCAGCGACGCCGCGUGAGGGAUGGAGGCCUUCGGGUUGUAAACCUCUUUCGCCAGUGAAGCAGGCCUGCCUCGUUUGUGGGUGGGUUGACGGUAGCUGGAUAAGAAGCGCCGGCUAACUACGUG